GGGCCCGCACAAGCGGUGGAGCAUGUGGUUUAAUUCGAUGAUACGCGAGGAACCUUACCAGGGCUUAAAUGUAGGUUGCAUGAUCUAGAGAUAGAUCUUUCUUCGGACUACCUACAAGGUGCUGCAUGGUUGUCGUCAGCUCGUGCCGUGAGGUGUCAGGUUAAGUCCUAUAACGAGCGCAACCCCUGUCGUUAGUUACCAGCAAUUAAAGUUGGGUACUCUAGCGAGACUGCCGGUGCAAACCGUGAGGAAGGUGGGGAUGACGUCAAAUCAUCACGGCCCUUACGUCCUGGGCUACACACGUGCUACAAUGGCCGGUACAGAGAGCAGCCACUACGCGAGUAGGAGCGAAUCUUCAAAGCCGGUCUCAGUUCGGAUCGUAGGCUGCAACUCGCCUACGUGAAGGCGGAAUCGCUAGUAAUCGCAGGU
rnacentral:rRNA from 1 species